GUAAUAAAUAUAGCCUAACCAAUCAUUAUAUAAAAUAAUUUUUUAAAAUAUUAAAUAAAACAUUUUACCACUUUAGUAUAGGAGAUAGAAAAUUUAACUAGCGCAAUAGAAAUAGUACUGUAAAGGAAAAAUGAAAUAGAAAUUAAAUAAAACAUAAAAACAAUAAAAAGCAAAGACUUAACCUUUUACCUUUUGCAUCAUGGUCUAGUUAGUUUAACCUAACACAAAGCACUUAAGUUAUAUAUCCCGAAACUAAGCGAGCUACUCCGAAGCAGCAAAACGAGCCAACCCUUCUCUGUGGCAAAAGAGUGGGACGACUUCUGAGUAGUGGUGAUAAACCUAUCGAGCCUAG
rnacentral:rRNA from 1 species